rnacentral:rRNA from 1 species
UACGUAGGGACCGAGCGUUGUCCGGAAUCCUUGGGCGUAAAGAGCGUGUAGGCGGCCACUUAAGUCCUGCGUGAAAUCUUGCGGCUCAACCGCAAGCGGUCGUGGGAAACUGGGUGGCUAGAGUGCGGGAGAGGAGAGUGGAAUUCCUGGUGUAGCGGUGGAAUGCGCAGAUAUCAGGAAGAACACCCGUGGCGAAGGCGGCUCUCUGGAACGCAACUGACGCUGAGACGCGAAAGCGUGGGGAGCAAACAGG